rnacentral:rRNA from 1 species
GACGAACGCUGGCGGCGUGCUUAACACAUGCAAGUGGUGCGACGAACCAGGGCUUGCCCUGGGGCCAAGCCGCGAACGGGUGAGUAACACGUGAGUAACCUGCCCCGAUGACCGGGACAA